rnacentral:rRNA from 1 species
GAGGGGUAUAGUAGCAAUACUAGAGACCGGCGCACGGGUGCGUAACGCGUAUGCAAUCUACCUUUUGCAGAGGGAUAGCCCAGAGAAAUUUGGAUUAAUACCUCAUAGUAUUAUAGUAUGGCAUCAUAUUAUAAUUAAAGUCACAACGGCAAAAGAUGAGCAUGCGUCCCAUUAGCUUGUUGGUAAGGUAACGGCUUACCAAGGCAACGAUGGGUAGGGGUCCUGAGAGGGAGAUCCCCCACACUGGUACUGAGACACGGACCAGACUCCUACGGGAGGCAGCAGUGAGGAAUAUUGGACAAUGGGCGCAAGCCUGAUCCAGCCAUGCCGCGUGCAGGAUGACGGUCCUAUGGAUUGUAAACUGCUUUUGUACAGGAAGAAACACUGGUUCGUGAACCAGCUUGACGGUACUGUAAGAAUAAGGAUCGGCUAACUCCGUGCCAGCAGCCGCGGUAAUACGGAGGAUCCAAGCGUUAUCCGGAAUCAUUGGGUUUAAAGGGUCCGUAGGCGGUCAGAUAAGUCAGUGGUGAAAGCCCAUCGCUCAACGGUGGAACGGCCAUUGAUACUGUCUGACUUGAAUUAUUAGGAAGUAACUAGAAUAUGUAGUGUAGCGGUGAAAUGCUUAGAGAUUACAUGGAAUACCAAUUGCGAAGGCAGGUUACUACUAAUGGAUUGACGCUGAUGGACGAAAGCGUGGGUAGCGAACAGGAUUAGAUACCCUGGUAGUCCACGCCGUAAACGAUGGAUACUAGCUGUUGGGAGCAAUCUCAGUGGCUAAGCGAAAGUGAUA